rnacentral:rRNA from 1 species
UUGGACGCUGGCGGCAUGCCUUACACAUGCAAGUCGAACGGCAGCACGGGAGCAAUCCUGGUGGCGAGUGGCGAACGGGUGAGUAAUACAUCGGAACGUGCCCAGUUGUGGGGGAUAGCCCGGCGAAAGCCGGAUUAAUACCGCAUACGACCUACGGGUGAAAGCGGGGGAUCGCAAGACCUCGCGUUAUUGGAGCGGCCGAUGUCGGAUUAGCUAGUUGGUGGGGUAAAAGCCUACCAAGGCUACGAUCCGUAGCUGGUCUGAGAGGACGACCAGCCACACUGGGACUGAGACACGGCCCAGACUCCUACGGGAGGCAGCAGGGGGGAAUUUUGGACAAUGGGCGCAAGCCUGAUCCAGCCAUGCCGCGUACGGGAAGAAGGCCUUCGGGUUGUAAACCGCUUUUGUCAGGGAAGAAACGGUUUGAGUUAAUACCUCGAACUAAUGACGGUACCUGAAGAAUAAGCACAGGAUAACUACGU